CUGCUGGGAAGCACUAAAAUAUAAUAUACGGGGUUAUAUCAUGAAAAACGCAUCCAAAAAUAACAGAAAAAUAAAAGCUUAAUGACAGACAAAUCUAGAAAAUAAACUCGCGGAUCUUCAAAACCUAUCCCACCGCGCCCAGCCUCACGAUGAGUGCACGAUGGGUAAAAUUGUACGAACUCAAGAACAGUACGACGAUAUUAUCGAAGGCCAUAGUAAUAAGAACGUAAUAGUCCAAAGAAGAGUUCGAACUCAAGGACGGUACGACGAUAUUAACGAAAGCCAUAGUAAGAGCGCAAUAGUCCGAAGCAGAGUUCGAUGAGCAGAAUAUGGGGGUAAAAAUAACGCCUAAUUUUUAAAUCUCGAAAAACGCAGAAUGGAAAAAGGGCGAUUAUUAGACUAAAUUCAAAUGCAAAUAUAGAGACUGACCAGCAGGCUAUUUUACGGCGCCUAAAAGAAUAUUUGAAAACCCUGUAUAGUGCAAGUAAGAACCCGUGUUGCACUAGCAAAAGUAAAAUAAAAGAGUAUACAAACAGUUUAAUGUAUCCAAGACUCGAUGCAGAAAAAGCAAAAAAAAUGUGACGGUAAACUGACCGUCGGCAAAUGCUACGAAGCGCUAAAGAGCAUGCAAAACAACAAAUCUACCGGAUUAGAUCGUUUUCCGGCGGAAUUCUACAAAGUAUUUUGGAAACCCGGGGAUAUUUUCCGGCCACCCGGGGAUGAAGUAAGUUACAUUCUUACAUUCUUUCUUCUUCUUUGUUUACAUUCAAUUUUGAAUCAAUGGGGAAGAAAUUUCAGGCUGUAACCAAACCCUGGCUGGCAAGGUCACUUUCACUACUAGGGCGAGUGACGAUUAUUAAAACCCUAGCGAUACCAAACCUACUUCACAAACAACUUAGCGUGUUGCCGGUCAGUCUACCCAAACAUUUUUUUAAAUAAAUUAAUAGAAAACUAUUUACAUUUUUGUGGGGCUCCUACUGGGAAAAGUAGAAAGAAAAACACCAUACAGUAAAAUAAAUGAGGGUGGUCUGGAAAUGAUAGACCUGGAGGCGUACGCAAAAUCAAUACGUUUCUCGUAGUUACGAACACUACUAGAUAUAAAUUUUGAAUCGCAUUGGAAAAAUAUUGAAACUAAAAUUACUUUUCUGAAUGCCAUGAUUUGUGUAGCCGCCUCCGAUUUAAUACUAACGCAUAAGGAAAUCACUAAACACACGCCUCUCUCGAAAUUCUGGUCAUUGAUCGAACUAUGGAGAGAAUGGGUUAACCACAGGACAAAAAUUACAAUUGCGCUAUAUGACUAAACAAAAUAGUUCUUUUUAAACCGAAACCGAUCGCGUAUGAAAAUUUUAUACAAUCUGGUAUACUAAUGUACCAACAAAUCAUAAACAACCACUCGAACUAUUGCAGCUUUAAACAGUUAUGCGAAAAGUAUACGUUGACAAACAACAAUCAAAACUACGCGGACUACCAGCGUUUUAUUGCAGCCAUUCCAACAACUUGGGAAACUUACACGGCGGACAGACCGGACCGA